AAAGCUUUCAAAUUAGACCAUGCUCUCAGCCUGCUAUACAGCAGUAUUAAAUGGAGGGAAGCAGAAAAGCACAAGUGUUCCUACUCUGUAAACAAAACACAACAGAGGGCCAGAGCUGCAGAGGAGGUGAUGAAAUAGAAAAAGCAGAAAUUGCAUCUACAUUUCUAGGUGUUCCUAUAGUUUUCCAACAGAAGUACUGAAUUACAAGUAUGAGUGGACUGUGAUAUACUGAACCCAGAUUUUCAAAAAUGGCCUGGAUUCAAAGUAUCUUGGAACUGACCAACAUAAUUUUGGAUAUCCAGCUUACACAGGAGCUGAUUUUCCUUCUAGUUCCCACUGAAACCAAGUGGAUUGCGAUCUGAAAUGUGAAGAUGGUUUCACACACCAUUUUUCUUACAGAAAGCCAGACUUGGCUCCAAACAAAGCUGCCGCAUUUUUCUGUGAUUUUUACCUAGCUGAACUAGGAAAAGUAGGCUUGUAUUAUUAACAAUUGUUACAGAUACUGCUACUUUUUUUUUCUCACUGUGGAGUAGGAAUUUAUUUCUUCCAACAUUUUUAUUAAAA
rnacentral:lncRNA from 12 species